GAUGAACGCUGGCGGCGUGCCUAAUACAUGCAAGUCGAGCGAACAGACGAGGAGCUUGCUCCUCUGACGUUAGCGGCGGACGGGGGAGUAACACGUGGAUAACCUACCUAUAAGACUGGGAUAACUUCGGGAAACCGGAGCUAAUACCGGAUAAUAUAUUGAACCGCAUGGUUCAAUAGUGAAAGACGGUUUUGCUGUCACUUAUAGAUGGAUCCGCGCCGCAUUAGCUAGUUGGUAAGGUAACGGCUUACCAAGGCAACGAUGCGUAGCCGACCUGAGAGGGUGGUCGGCCACACUGGAACUGAGACACGGUCCAGACUCCUACGGGAGGCAGCAGUAGGGAAUCUUCCGCAAUGGGCGGAAGCUUGACGGAGCAACGCCGCGUGAGUGAUGAAGGUCUUCGGAUCGUAAAACUCUGUUAUUAGGGAAGAACAAAUGUGUAAGUAACUAUGCACGUCUUGACGGUACCUAAUCAGAAAGCCACGGCUAACUACGUG
rnacentral:rRNA from 1 species